UUAGAUUGAAUAGUAUUUCAGACAAACUCCAUGAUAAGUUCAAGGUUUAGGGCCUCUGACAGGCACGUACCAGACAAAGCCGGUAGCCCCUAGGGGCGGCCUGCCAAAGCAACAAUAGUAUAAUAGGCAAGUGGGUAUAGGAUUAGCCCCAAAGAGGGGUAAAAAGUCGAUAAUGAUCCUUCCGCAGGUUCACCUACGGAAA
rnacentral:misc_RNA from 1 species